rnacentral:rRNA from 1 species
UACAGAGGUGGCAAGCGUUGUUCGGAAUUACUGGGCGUAAAGGGCGCGUAGGCGGUUGAUUAAGUCCCGUGUGAAAUCCCUCGGCUCAACUGAGGAACUGCACGGGAAACUGGUCGACUUGAGUUCGGGAGAGGGAAGCGGAAUUCCGGGUGUAGCGGUGAAAUGCGUAGAUAUCCGGAGGAACACCGGUGGCGAAGGCGGC